GACGAACGCGGCGGCGUGCUUAACACAUGCAAGUCGAACGGGUCUGCCUUGUUUUUUGCGGGGUGGGUCAGUGGCGAACGGGUGAGUAACACGUGAGUAACCUGCCCCUCACUUCUGGAUAACCGCUUGAAAGGGUGGCUAAUACGGGGUGUUCUGGCUGUGCCGCAUGGUGUGGCUGGGAAAGAUUCACUUUUGUGGUGUUUUGGUGGGGGAUGGGCUCGCGGCCUAUCAGCUUGUUGGUGGGGUGAUGGCCUGCCAAGGCUUUGACGGGUAGCCGGCCUGAGAGGGUGGGCGGUCACACUGGGACUGAGAUACGGCCCAGACUCCUGCGGGAGGCAGCAGUGGGGGGUAUUGCACAAUGGGCGGAAGCCUGAUGCAGCGACGUCGCGUGAGGGAUGGAGGCCUUCGGGUUGUGAACCUCUUUCGCCGGUGAAGAAGGUCCUGUUCUUUGUGGUGGGGCUGACGUAGCCG
rnacentral:rRNA from 1 species